rnacentral:lncRNA from 1 species
GAGCUCUGCAAUGACGGCAUUCUGGUGGUGGACACAGCAUGCGUUGAUUGGCGUGCUGUCGGGCUGACCCCGGGUGCCGAUGCAUGCUGUCUGACUGUGCCACUAGCUCCUUGCGACGACCUCCCCCUGCUUCCAACUCGUCUCCUCCUCCUCUCUGUCUCCCCAUCUGAACUUUCGCCCUGUUCUUCUUCUUGCCGAGCGGGCACCCACGUGACAUCCAUGGACGCAUUGUCAUCAUCAACCGCUUCACUUGUAUCUGACAACUCAGCAAAGGAAGCAGCAGCGGGUACAACAUCAUCAUCAUCACACCGUACAUGUGUAAUGCUGCCUGAUUGAGACAUAUCCCUGUUAUCUACAUCCUCUGUCAAUAAUGGUUGUGCAUCACUCAUUUCUUCAAAC